CACAAAAUCAAGUAAGCCUGGAUGAAAAGGGAGGAAAAGAGGUUUCUGGGUUUUCAUCCAGUCAGAAACUGAAGUCAGUAAAUAUCAUGUUCCAUCGAGCUGAAGGUUAAAAAGGGGCUUAGUCUUCAGCUGUCAACAUCCUGGGAUCCUGUACAUCAAAGUGCUGCGCCAAGCCCUCCGUGAGUGCUGGCGCUCUCUCAGUACUUCAUCUGCUUUGAAGUUUCAGGGAUUUUUGCUGAUAAUGUAGUUAGCGAGGAUCCUGAAAUACCAGAAUAGCCUUGGAAAUUCAAGUUCAAAAUGCAGGAAACUUUCAGUUUGGAAUUGAACAUGUUCAAAACAAUUUUUAGGUGUGUUGUGUUUACUGUUUUUUUUCCUACACUGAAGAUUCAGCACAUGCUUAAAGUUUGAGACUCUACAACUAUUGGUUUUACCUGUAUUAGGCAAGCUCACAUUUCUGACUUGGGAUUCCGUAUCAGCUUUUAACUUGCUUGGAUUUAUAUUGUACUUGGAAGUAAAUCUUCAAGAAAAUGUGUUCUAUAUUGAUUCAAAUCUUCAGUCCUGUUCUACCAUAGCCUUUCAUUUUUCUUUCAUGAUGAAUCAGCACAAAUGAAUAAUUAUUUGCUUAUUUAUUUCCGUUAAUACUUUAAUGGUCAUGUGUCUUUUCCUUCUCCUCAAGCGUAAGUCUUUCCAUGGUUCUUAAUUUGACUGCUAUAAUUGUUGAAGAAAAUAAAAGUACUAAAAUUAAUAAAUAAUGCUUCACUUGACAGAUAAGUUUUGUCUUCACAGAUCUAUUUCUUAUAAUCUUAUGUUGACCUGCCAGCAAAAUGACUUAUUCACAUACAAUUUCCUCUUGCAAGGAUUUUUUUAUAUGCCAGCUGGUAUUUCCUCCAGUUUAAGGUUUAUUGAGCUGGUGUAUUAGAUUUCCUGCUGCAUGAGCAAGAAGAUUAUGGUGGCUUACGUCUAAGUAUACUUUUGGGAGGCAUUUUGUAUUUUCUCUAUAAAUAGUCUUUCUAAAACACAAUUUUGAAACUAUUAAUGUUUAUAUCGCAUUAUACAUCUCUCUAAGUUUACUGUCCUGAGUAUACAGUAUGGUUGCAAGAGGAAAUCUUUUUGUCUAAGAAACGUGUUCAGAAUUGUCAUUGUUAAAAGGCUACUAAAAGGUAGGUUUGCUACUAAAAGGCAAGUUUGUUAUAUUUAUCUUUUUGUCCGUAUGGUAUUUUUGGCUUAUUACACAGUGUCGUUCCUGUUUUCAACAACAGUAAAAUUGCAUCUUUUAAGGAGUUAAGCACUUCAAUAGAAAUUGCAAAUGUUAACUUCCGAGCAGAAGUGUGGGCAUCCUGGUUAUUCCAUUUGUGACAGAAAAAUGUCAAAUGAGUCAAUUGCAAUUAUGAGCUCUUCACAGAUAAAACUUAGACUUGAGGAUUAGUGUAAAACUUGUAUUUUACACUUUAUAAACCUUUUUUUUUUUUUUGCCUUAAUCAAAAGAAUGCACUCAUUAUAGAUUUUAAAGAAAGAAACCCUGAAAAGAUCCUUCGUCCAUAAAUAAAUGGAAAAUACAUGGGGAGGGAUGCAGAGGUAGUUCAUAUGUGUAGUAUCUCACUGAUGUAUAUUCUGUUUUGAGAAUAACUUAAUGAGCAAUUUCUCCACAAUUUACAAGAAGAUGCCACAGGCUUAACUUUAGAAGGUCCCCUGGAGCCAUUUAUAAAUCCACACAUCAACAGCCUGUUUCAUUAUUUUCAAAAAAUGGAACAUGAGUGAAACAAAUGGUUAGCGUAGUUCUGUCCAGUGCAAUGAGAGAUUAUCAUUUUAAGCCACGAUUGUCGGGUGGGUUGGGCCCAGCUCCACAUCCUCCUUGGGUUCAGAUACGGGUGCCACGUGGGCAAUCUGCAAUUUACUGGGGGCAUCGUUAGCUGGCUGUGCCUCCGGGUAGGAUUUGAGACAGGCCUGGAGAAGUUGCGAUCCAGGAGGGAUACUCAGUGCCCUCCGUCAGCACCGGAGCUGGUGCCAAAGCCCCAGAGACGUGGAGGAGGCAUUAGGUCAGAUGAGUUAUGCUAAGUGGCAAGUGAUAAAUUCAAGAUGACAAUUUGAAAUAAUGGUAUUUCUCCCAGUAAUUAAUUCCAGCGGUGCCCGAGGCAGUGCUGGGUUGCUGCAAUCAGUGUGGCCGUAGCUGAGCAGCUAAUGAGAAAGUAUUGCAGUGAGGACGGGGGGCUGGUGUGUUCUGGCAAGAUGAGGUCACUGUGAGUAGAAAGUGUUAAUACAAGCUUCAUGUGAUAAACUAUGACAAAGAAACUUGUGUUACUUUGAGAGGUUAAAAUGCAGGCAUCCUUUGGUGUUCUUUCACACAUUGCCUAUAGAGUGGCACCAGGCCUCGCCUUGGUGCCGACACAUGUGCCCAAUGUCUAAGCUGGUUAGCUGUUGCAGUGGAACACACUUCCUUUCCUCCCUUUAAUUUGUUCUAAUUACUGUUGUCAGGUAGCACUGAGCACUCAGCUUAAAGGAAUAAGUUUGGCGGGUGUUACUGAUGAAUAGAAAGAAUGGUGAGAAAAUGCCACUUUGGCAUUCAUCAUCCUCCACAGUCAGCAGCGAAGAUGGGACUGCAUGGCACUGGCGUGCAAAAGCCAAGUGCUUCUGAGCACUUUGACUAUGCCAGGUGUGGGGCAAGGCCACCUAAGAAUGGAGUUGUAUAAUGACUGUCCUGCCCUGUUGCUGCAUCAGCGCGGGUCUGACUGGGUCGUGUGGGAACUAAAAUCCACAGUGGAACUUUAAAAAGUGUUUGUGAGAGUUUCCCAGGCUGUUAUUCCCCAUAGCUGCUGGAUUUCUGUUAUUCGUAACUACAGGUGCUGUCUUAACAGAAACGUGUGGGUGACAAAGCGCUUACUAAGUUCUGUUACCAACAAAUCUCAGGAAGUCUUCUGCUAAUUAAUAACGUAUAUGAGACGGACUGCAUGCUUUGGCAUUUACUUUUUUGUGCUCUGAAGCCUAACAGUUAUUUUCACAUUUUUGCUUUGUUUCCUCUUGUUUCAUAUUUAGGUAAUGAUUGCUUUUCUUCUGAAAGCAUUGCAACUACUUCAUUACAAACACUUCUAUAGGGUAGAUAAAAAUAGUGUUUAAUCAGAUCAGUAAGACUGCAUCUAGUCUCAAAUGUCAAGUAAUAUAAUUAGUUGGCAUGCUCGUAACCAAAUCCUUACAUUAUCUCAGAAUUUAUUGGACUACUGUGGAUGUUUUUGCACAUCUUACCUUCCAGUACAUACCUUUAUCUUUUAAAGCCAACUUUUAAAAAAUAUGUCAGUGAGACCUUAUGAGUUUUUUUCUUUAUUUUGCUCACAUCUUACCUUUUAAAGCAAUUCCCAGAAUACUCAUAGAAGAAAACAGAUUACCGUACAUUCUUUCUCUCAUUCAAUUAUUUUUAUACAGUAUUGAACUGUAAUAGAGAAAAAAUCUGCUCCCUGAUAUAAAACUUGAAAGUGAUGUUUGAGGCCUACAGUUGCAGCAGAUAAUUAAAAAAUAAGUAUUAAGUACACUGACCCUUUCAGUAAUCAGAUUUGCAAUGGCACUAUUUCUCUGAUGAACAAUGAAAGAAUCAUCAAGGGUAAUAUGCAGUAAUAUGAGCUGUGAUCUAGCAAGUGACAAUUGUUUCCAUGGUAUUAAAAUCUCUUUGAACACAUUCCCUUCUUCUGUUUGUGUAACAAGCUUGUCAGAUUGCUCGGGCUUUAUUUAUUUAUUUCUGUAGUUACACAGAGAACAAUUAUUUUGUCUCCUUUUUCAUGAAAAAGGAAAAACAUCCCAUAGUUCAAUCUCUGUGGCACGGUCUUAGAAUUUCCAUUAAUUAAAUGAUGAAUUGGAAACUGUCGUUAAAAAACACAAAAUGCAACAAUGAGGCACUAUUGCCAUUUACUUUUAAUGCUUAAAGCACCGGCCAAACACUGUAAGGGCAAAUUAAAUUCUAAGCACGACAGUGAAGACCCAGGGUUAGAACUAUUAAAGUUAUGGAUAAAUUUGGGGAUUUCUGUAUGAUGUCACUGCAGUGUUGAAACAGGUGCCUAUGUAGUUAUCUGCGUUGCAGUAUUGAACAUGUAUUUUCAUGGAAGACAUGGGGAAAUGCUUUUUGACUCUCCAUUUGAACUUAUCUUGGACCCUGCCAUAUGAAACUAU